CCUAUCAGCUUGUUGGUGGGGUGAUGGCCUACCAAGGCGACGACGGAUAGCCGGCCUGAGAGGGUGAUCGGCCACACUGGGACUGAGACACGGCCCAGACUCCUACGGGAGGCAGCAGUGGGGAAUCUUGCGCAAUGGGCGGAAGCCUGACGCAGCAACGCCGCGUGGGGGAUGACGGCCUUCGGGUUGUAAACCUCUUUCGCGAUCGACGAAGGUCCAGUUGUUGCUGGGCUGACGGUAGGUCGAGAAGAAGCCCCGGCCAACUACGUGCCAGCAGCCGCGGUAAUACGUAGGGUGCGAGCGUUGUCCGGAAUUAUUGGGCGUAAAGAGCUUGUAGGCGGUGUGUCGCGUCGGCCGUGAAAACCUGGGGCUUAACUCUGGGCGUGCGGUCGAUACGGGCAUCACUUGAGUUCGGCAGGGGAGUCUGGAAUUCCUGGUGUAGCGGUGAAAUGCGCAGAUAUCAGGAGGAACACCGGUGGCGAAGGCGGGUCUCUGGGCCGAUACUGACGCUGAGGAGCGAAAGCAUGGGUAGCGAACAGGAUUAGAUACCCUGGUAGUCCAUGCCGUAAACGUUGGGCGCUAGGUGUGGGGCUCAUUCCACGGGUUCCGUGUCGCAGCUAACGCAUUAAGCGCCCCGCCUGGGGAGUACGG
rnacentral:rRNA from 1 species